GCUUGAGUGCAGUCAUGCUAGUUCAAGACAAGCAGCUAUUGCGGCCUGUUCUCGUGGAAAAAAAA
rnacentral:rRNA from 1 species